ACGGCUCAGUAACACGUGGAUAACCUGCCCUUGGGACCGGCAUAACCCCGGGAAACUGGGGAUAAUUCCGGAUACCGCAUAUAUGCUGGAAUGCUUUAUGCGUGAAAUGGAUUCGUCUGCCCAAGGAUGGGUCUGCGGCCUAUCAGGUAGUAGUGGGUGUAAUGUACCUACUAGCCUACAACGGGUACGGGUUGUGAGAGCAAGAGCCCGGAGAUGGAUUCUGAGACAUGAAUCCAGGCCCUACGGGGCGCAGCAGGCGCGAAAACUUUACAAUGCGGGAAACCGUGAUAAGGGGACACCGAGUGCCAGCAUUAUAUGCUGGCUGUCCAGGUGUGUAAAAUACACCUGUUAGCAAGGGCCGGGCAAGACCGGUGCCAGCCGUCGCGGUAACACCGGCGGCCCGAGUGGUGAUCGUGAUUAUUGGGUCUAAAGGGUCCGUAGCCGGUUUGGUCAGUCCUCCGGGAAAUCUGACAGCUUAACUGUUAGGCCUUCGGGGGAUACUGCCAGACUUGGAACCGGGAGAGGUAAGAGGUACUACAGGGGUAGGAGUGAAAUCUUGUAAUCCCUGUGGGACCACCUGUGGCGAAGGCGUCUUACCAGAACGGGUUCGACGGUGAGGGACGAAGGCUGGGGGCACGAACCGGAUUAGAUACCCGGGUAGUCCCAGCCGUAAACGAUGCUCGCUAGGUGUCAGGCAUGGCGCGACCGUGUCUGGUGCCGCAGGGAAGCCGUGAAGCGAGCCACCUGGGAAGUACGGCCGCAAGGCUGAAACUUAAAGGAAUUGGCGGGGGAGCAC
rnacentral:rRNA from 1 species